AUUGAACGCUGGCGGCAUGCCUUACACAUGCAAGUCGAACGGUAACGGGCCUUCGGGUGCCGACGAGUGGCGAACGGGUGAGUAAUAUAUCGGAACGUACCUUUCAGUGGGGGAUAACGUAGCGAAAGUUACGCUAAUACCGCAUAUUCUGUGCGCAGGAAAGCAGGGGACCUUCGGGCCUUGCGCUGAUUGAGCGGCCGAUAUCAGAUUAGCUAGUUGGUGAGGUAAAGGCUCACCAAGGGCGACGAUCUGUAGCGGGUCUGAGAGGAUGAUCCGCCACACUGGAACUGAGACACGGUCCAGACACCUACGGGAGGCUG
rnacentral:rRNA from 1 species